CGUGCGAGUACAACUUACAAGUGAACAAGUUACAACUUCAUGAACUUUUUGAGCGAGGAAAAUGCUACGUACAGCAGUACUACAAGGCAGCUGCAGGCUUGUCUCAUCACUACUGGAUUGUUGCACAAGGUGUUGACUGUCUUCAGAAUACGGGCUUGUAACUCGGCACCAUCAUGUGCAUGACUUGAAAACAAAUGUUCUUUAAAUGCCAAGAAGAAACUAAUUGCAGGAUGUAAGAUCAGUACAUGUACAUAUAUUUCUCGGCAAACAGGCACUAGCUUAACAUGUAUAUGAGCCCAGAUUUCUGGAUGACACUUCACACUUCAUGGGCUACGUUGAAAGGUAGAGAUGUCAGCCCCUUGCAUCACCACCAUUGCAACUACCGCAGAGAUCAUUCACAAGACAGAGAUCUCCCCGAGGAGUGUUUGCGGCCCAGAAAGUCCCAGUUUCACAUCCACUCACGUGAACAAUGGGAGAAGUCAGAGGACCGGAGGUGUGGUCAAGGCCACACAGGUGACAGAGACUGUGACAGUAAACACCAAGAUGACAUCUGAUAGAAUGACCUUGGAGAACAACUCAAACUGGAGAUCAUCAACUGACUGGAGACAAGAGGCACUGGACCCACUAAAACGAUUCUUCUAGAUGUACAUGAGGAGGUCAGAGCAAGAAAAGAUCUCAAAGUAAAGAGUGCCUGAUGUGUGGGCAGCAUCACCUGACAGAGUAGAACCUGACUCGUACGAGUUUGGCCUCACAGGGAAUGGCAAAGAUGACUCUAAUGGUGAAGAAUAAAAAAGUAAGCCUUUAAAGAAAAUCAAGUUCCAGGAAAGACUUGAGUUGCUCACCGUCAGAAUGAGCAACUCUGACAGUGAUGAGGAUCAAGACUAGUGGGUGGAGAAAACACCAGGGCAUAUAUUCACUGAUAUCUUGAGGCUUCUCUGGACAGUUGAGGACCAAUUUGACUGGUAGCUCUAUUUACUUGCCAAGAGAGUGAUUAGGCAGGUCAAGUCAGAUCAGCUGCUGUCCUCUGCGGCAGCCUGCACAGCACAACUGUGUGUUGUGAUUUUCCUAUCUAAGGGAGUUUGCCAGAGGAAUCAAUGGAUGGGAACACAAGUUUUGGGAAUUGUUUGGCGCCCAUCUUAACCUACUCCUUUAACUACCAAGAUGCUUGUCAAGACGCUGUUCAUACAAACCUUGUUAGACACUGCUGGAUUGUACCCUGUUAGGAGAUCAGAUGAAAAUAUCAGACUGCACCAUUCCCAUGUUAAUUCAAGAGGAAGUGACAAGGCAUGUCGCUCUGCCUAACAUUAUUCCCACAAGAUCACUUUACUUGUGGCCAGUGAGCAGAGUUGGUAAGGAUAAUACAUGUUGCUCAACCUACUGCUGUGCUCCAAUAGGAUCACUUACCUGUACCUCUGAUCUGCAAGUUGAAGUGAGUUGAAAGUACAGAGCUGUAUUUGAAAACUAGAGCACUAACUCUCAUACAAAACGAUGCCUGCUGGGCAUCCAUGUUUGUGCAGAGAACUCAAUAUUUUGUACAGCUUUUGUACAGCUAUUUGCACAUCUGCGUCUGUAUUCUAAAAUGACAAGAAAGCACAUACACAAAGGAACCUAAAUGCUUAAUCAGUAAAUGAGCAUUUGAUUUUGCUCUACAUAAAAAAUUAAAAUGUGUGUGCAUCUGUGCUGCAGAUAAGUUUGCCGUGACUUUUUAAUUGGAUUUUAUUGAUAACCGAUGUGCUCUGCAUUAAGAGUACAUCAUUGGAUAUUCAUUCUAUCUAUUUUCGAAUAUUCUACAAGCAUGCACAGCGUCAAAUUGUCUGUGCCUAGGGCGAAGUCAAACUUUCUCCACAUGGAGAAUGAGAGGUUAACGCUCAAGGACUUUAACACAGCUCAAUGGUUGGAAGUGAGACAGCAUUGUUUGUCUAUACCCAGCACUGUGUUUUUACAGGAUCACUUAUCUGUUGUCUAAGAACCGAGCUGGAUGGACGCAUGGGUGGAUAUCAUGACUGGAAACACAAACUGGCUUUAUGUUAUAUAGCAUUUUAAUUUCUAUGCACUGUCUUUAGGUCUCAAGUACAAAAGUGUGGGACAUUUGUGUGUGAUGACUAUUAGUGUUCAAGAAAGUUAAACUCUGUAGCUUUUAAAGUAGUUGUAAAUUUUGUAAAAAAAUUGUGAUGUGUGUUGACUGGAAAGCUACCUUUUGUACGUGUAUAUUGCUUUACAUUCAAUUUUGUGGGCUGCCGUAAGGUAAAGAAAGAAAUCACUAUUUGGGCAACUUGUGUGUAAGGCCAUUGAACUACAAGAAGAUUGUGAACUGAGUAACGUUUAAAGUCAUUGAAAAACUCGUAAAAAUUGUGAUAAAUGUUGACUACACGUUUAUCUGGUUAUGCAUGAGACUAUUAGCCUACAGUCAAAUUUUGAACUUGAGUAACUGUUGAAGUAGUUGUCAAGUUUGUAAAAACAAUGUUGCCUGAAAAUUGACCUGUUAAUUUCAUUCACAUUCGCUGGAACUGUAUUUCAUUAUUGUGUAAUUUAAUUGGAUCUUGCACUCCUGCAUUUAACUUUGUUUGCAGUGUGUUUUGGAAAGUUUGUAUUGCCAUCCUCUUCAGUUUCUCUGCCUGUACUUCAUGCACCUUGGGCGGUAUGACGAAUUCUCUUUAUCAACAAAGGAUGAUUCUACUCAAGUUUUUAAUAGUCAGCUACAUGAGAGGAAAAUGUUUUUAACACACCAGUUACGGUAUUGCUGGAAGCAAUAUGAAAUGUAGCAGUGCACCUGUGCAAUUAAAUUCCACCAGAAGUUUAAACGUGAAGUUCAAUGGGACCCUCUGUGAGGUUGGGAGCAUGUUCUGCGAUCUUUGUAAGAGUGGUCAAUAAAUUUUUCAUGAACUGUAAA